rnacentral:tRNA from 1 species
GCCUGGGUGGCUCAGUUGGUUAAGCAUCCGACUUUGGCUCAGGUCAUGAUCUCACGGUUCAUGGGUUCGAGCCCCAUGUCAGGCU